rnacentral:rRNA from 1 species
UACGUAGGCGGAAAAUUAAGUCAGUGGUGAAAUCCUGCAGCUUAACUGUAGAACUGUCAUUGAUACUGGUUUUCUUGAAUAUAGUUGAGGUAGGCGGAAUGUGUAAUGUAGCGGUGAAAUGCUUAGAUAUUACACAGAACACCGAUUGCGAAGGCAGCUUACUAAGCUAUGAUUGACGCUGAGGUACGAAAGCGCGGGGAGCGAACAGGAUUAGAUACCCUGGUAGUC